rnacentral:rRNA from 1 species
GAUGAACGCUGGCGGCGUGCUUAACACAUGCAAGUCGAACGAAGCACUUUAUUUGAUUUCCUUCGGGACUGAUUAUUUUGUGACUGAGUGGCGGACGGGUGAGUAACGCGUGGGUAACCUGCCUUGUACAGGGGGAUAACAGUUGGAAACGGCUGCUAAUACCGCAUAAGCGCACAGCAUCGCAUGAUGCAGUGUGAAAAACUCCGGUGGUAUAAGAUGGACCCGCGUUGGAUUGGCUAGUUGGUGAGGUAACGGCCCACCAAGGCGACGAUCCAUAGCCGACCUGGGAGGGUGACCGGCCACAUUGGGACUGAGACACGGCACAAACUCCUACGGGAGGAAGCAGUGGGGAAUAAAGCAGAAUGGGCGAAAGCCGGAGGCAGCGACGCCGGGUGAGCGAAGAAGUAUUUCGGUAUGUAAAGCUUUAUCAGCAGGGAAGAUAAUGACGGUACCUGACAAAGAAGCACCGGCUAAAUACGUG